UUAUUGCGUUAAUUGGUAACGAUUGUUUUUUAUUGGUAUUUAAUUUUUAGUAAUUUGAGCAAACCAACAAAGAUCAAUACAAAAUCAAUCGAAAUGAUUGUACUUUCUGAAACAUAUUACGAGUUCAUAGUUAACUGAUGUUCGCAGUGAUAAAUUUCAUUAAUUAUUCGUAAUGAGCGUGACUUUAACACUCUUGAAUAUUUGAAAGCUUCUUUUUAAUCCAAAUCUUAAUUUUCUGCAACCCAUAAAUUACACCGUUUUUUUGCCUUUCUCGUCUUUCUCUCAAGUUGUUUUCUCUUUUUCCCUCUUUUUUAAUUCGAAUCGUUAAUUUCCAGUAACUCAUAAAUUGUACUUCUUCAGCUCUCUCACCUACUAUCUGCUUUUUCUUUGCUCCUAUUUUUUGGAUGAUCGUUCCCGUAGAAAAAGAAAAUCAAGUGUGUAACGUGAUUCGGGGUCAAACGUUGAACCCGUUACCUCGUGAUGACCAGACACGUGAUUUUUAAUGCGCACAAGUCUCUGUCCACCGACGUUCCUUUUCACUUUCCGGCACACAAAUUCCGCCGAAGUGCACUUUGAUUCUGCUAGCUCUUGACACUUGUGUUUGCGCAGUGGGAACGUUCUUGGCUUGUCGAGUGUUUUGUGAAGUGGAUCGCGGAAUAACGUGUGGUCGAGUAUACUGCAUACGCAAAGGCGAUAAAACCUAAUAUUGUACUUUUGUUCCCUAUUUUUCCAUUAUACACCUAGGAUUUCUUUUUUAUCGAUUUGGUAACUAGUUUUCGAAAAUAAAAACUCUUCGACCUGAAGACAUCGAAUUACUUCAUAUUUAAUGAUAAUGAUUAAUAAAAUUUGCGACAAUUUAAUAAGUCUCUUAAAGAUACAGCUAACGAAAUAAAACAAGUAAAAACUAAAAAUUUAUAUUGUACGAAUCUAAAAUUGUUAACGAAAAAAUAUUUUUUAUAGAAAGUUAACGAUAAACAAAAAUUGUGUAGAAAAUUUGGAUAGAUAUAAGCAAUUCGAAUUGAUUGGAAUUAGUGAAAUUGACAACAGUAUACAACAGCUUUUAAUGUUAUAGAAAAAUCGAUACUAAUAAAAUGAAAAAGAUAAAAGAUAAUGGUUUAAAGAUCGCCAAUGAAGAAAAUAUUUUUAUUUUAAUGGUAUAUUGAUAGAAAUCAAACAGAGAGUUAGGGCGAACAUCUCGUGUACAGAUCGCGGAUUUUUUCCUCGUUUCUCUGUAAAAACGUUCUGUUUAUUUUCUUAAACUGCUGAUCCUUCAACGAAAAGCUUCGGAAGUAUGUUAAAACACUCUUCGUAUUUUAAGGAACGUCCGGAUUUUGCGGUUAAAAUUCAUGAUGCGCAAACUGCCUACUAUGUAAUUCGUAACAUUUCUUCAUUUUUCUCAUCGUUUCCCAAAGCAACUUGGUCUUCUCAAAAAAAGCAACAAUUGGAGGAAGCCAUUUUUCUUACAGCAGUAACACAGUGGAAUGACAUUAAAAAAUAGAAGAAGAUGCGUCAAAUCUUAAAACAAUAGAAACUCGUAACUUUAGAUUACGUGUGUCGUAAUUUUCACUUUUCGUCCCAUUCUUUGUAUUUUUCUUUAAUACAAUUGCAAGCCGCAAUAUGCUUUUAACUUCCGCAUUUUUCAAUAGAAGCUCAAGAAACGCGUGAUAUUUCUUUUCAUGGGUUCGUACGUUUCUAUUUUUCUGUUUGACUGACAGUUUACGGAUCGUCUGUAAACCAACAUCUUUAUUCCUUCCUUCAAAUAUUGGAAGCCUAAUAAAUCUUUCUGUAGCCAAUAACAACGUUUCCAAAGGGAUAAAUAAUAAUUUGAAUUCUUAUUUAUUGUUCAUUCUCCUAUCUCUUUGUCCCAAUUGUUUUAAUAUAUUGAUUUAAAUUACCUUUACCUCAAUGUUAAUUUUCAUUCUGAAUACUCAUAUAAAAAUCGAAAACUUUUGUUUAUCAAAAGCUUGUAUAUUGAACAUUCGUCAUGAAAAAUUCAAAGGUCAUUGUAUAAAACAGUUAUUACAUCAAAGAUUUCUGAUUUAUAUACAUAUGUUGAGAAGGGAUUUAUUCUUGACCAUCGCUUUAUCAUGCGAUCUAAAAACAAGUAUGAUCGAUAUGAUUGGUUUCUUCGAACGUACCUACGUGCAAGAAAAGUCAGGUUCUCAAGAAAUCGAAUCACGUGUUGUACUUGAAGGUAAAUCCAUCCAAACGGAGGAGAAAUUCCGCGAAAAAAAUGUAUUGUUUCGGCGAAACUAUGCGUCUUCGAAUGAGACAUACUUCGAAAAUCCCUCGGAAACUUGUUAUAAUCAUGUAUGUAUCUCAUACGCAUACAUAAAUACAUAUAUAUAUUUUAUCAGUUUUCUAUCCCAACAGCACUGGUAAUAAAUAUUUCAAACCUUGUAUACAUUUGAAGAGAACCUGCGUAUUUCUUUCAUUCCAAUAUGUAUAUAUUUAUAGUUGCAACUAACUUUAUUUAUCGAUAAAACGAAACGAGAGGCAAGAAAAAUAUCUUUAAACAAAUAACUGAUUACGAUUACAAUAAGAAAAAAAUAUUGAAAGAUAAACAAAUAAUGACUUAAAUUAAAGUAUCAAAAUUUUGCUAGAAAAGAUACAGCAAAAAUAAUAAUAUCAAAGAUAAAAGAUAUAACGAAGCUUCUUAACUGAAAUACAGGAAUGUUGUUAAAAGAUAAAUAUAUUAUCUUCCUAUUACCACCAAUGAAUCUAUUGAUAUUAUUAAUUAUUAAUCCUUAUUUAUUAGUCUGAUCUAAAAAAAUUUUAAUCAAACAUAAAUUCUCUUCUGAUCCAAUCGUAAAUAUAAUGAAAUAUAUGAAAGCUAAUUAUGAAGAUUCUAAAUGUUCGAGUUCUAUGAUCGAUAAUAAGAAAGUACUCGACCGUACUCGUGAUCAUUAGAGAUUGCGAUGUAACCGAUUAUUCGAGCGUUUCAUUAAAAAUUAAGCCGCGUAUUUUUUGCAGCUUUACUUCGAUCUCAUCAUCCUUAUCAUCGAAAAUAUCUCGAAAGUGAUAACGAUCGUAUAUGAAGCAUAAUGAAAGCGCAGACCGUGUAAUCUCGUACGGUGUGGUCACGAAAAUCACGUAGCCAAAGACAGAAAUUCUUUAGUUUUAAGACAUACAAGUACGAGAGUUUCUUUUCUUUGAUAUCGCCUAUAGGUAUAUGUAUAUUUUACUAACAUUUUGAUAAAAAUUGCUAUAGAUAAUCAACUAUUACUUUUUUAAUAGAAAGCCCUAGGUAAUACAAAGCUUGCUAAUAAUUGAAGAUUACAAGAUAUGAUAAGUAUAUUUUUGUCCAUGUUUUGUUAUGAUAAAUAAGCAGGUGAAUUUUAACGUUAAAUUGUAAUUGAAAAUGAACAAAAUCUAGAAAUCACUUCUUUUAAAAAUGGUUGAUAAGUUUAAAUUUUGUGGAGGUCAAGAGCAUAAUUAAGACAAAUAUUCAUAUAUCCUCAAUAUUUUAGUACUGUGAUGAACAAUAUAUUAUAAUAUAGCAAUAUAAUAACAUCGAAAAUUUUUGAGAAAAUGAAAACACGUACAUUCAGCUCCAGAAUCAAGUAAAAAGACAAUUUUACUGACACGAGGAUGCAUUGACAAUAAUUUUCUUAGUAAAUAGAGGAUGUAUAAAGAUGUAUAAAGAAGACGUGUUUUUAGAAUUUAUAAAUUCUAUUAGGAACUAGGAGAAUUUUCGAAAUUUUAAAUUGCGCAAAAAAGAAAAAGAAAGGAAUUUUUGUGCUAUCCGAGAGAGAAGAAUUUUUAGAAUUUUAAGUACAUGCAAGGCAAGAGAAUUAACAAAUUUUCAAAUUAUAUCUGCAAACUGAAUUUUCCAAAUUUUCUCUUGUUGUGUGAGUAGUAAGAGUGAGUAAGAAGUAACUUGUUAGAUGACUAAUACGAAUUAUACUGGAGCAGAAAUUAAGGGAUGACGUUUUUGUAAUGACAUCCAUAAACAUAGAGAUCGAAUGAGAUCAUUGAUGGAUGUCUCUUUUAUCGAAUAAACCUUGCUAGAAAUAGCGAUCGAACGUCAGUAGUAUACGUAUGUACUGGCAUCGAUCAAUGCGAAGGAGCUUCAUAAUUCGAAUCUCUGGCUAAUUAGUUUUUAAUUGUAUCGGUUCGUAAGACCGAACGUUAUAAACAAACUAUGCUAUAAACACUGCCUGAGAAAUAAGGGCGAUAUCUGUGAAGAUAUUAGAUUUAUAGGAAAAUCGCUUUUUAUUUGUUUUCCUUUUCGAAAGGAAAAGUUCAAUUAUUUUAAGUAAAUUAAAUAUUGAUUGGUUUUCAACGUAAUAACUACUGUUAUUAAAAUAUUCUUUUAGUGCUUUCACGAUUUAAUACACAAUACUUAUUCGAUAUUUCUCGAUGAAAAAAUUAUACAAAGAUUGUAUCUAGAUAAAAAACAAGAAAGUCGUCAUUUAAGAGACGUCAUUUAAUCUUAUUUCACUUGUAAUUUUUAUUCGAUUAAACAAAAUUGUAAGGAUCGUUUUACCUGAAUAAGGUAGACUUGUAAAAGUAAAAAUCUAGCGACGAAAUUUUCCAAUCUAAUGAAAAAUAAAAAUUACAAGAUUAUACAGAUUGAAGUAAAGAAGUUCGAACAAAAUAUAACUCUAUGCUUCAUAGCUAAAUAAUGAGAAUUAACAAGUGAAAAUAAAUCGAUACUAAUGUGAUGUAAGAUUGAGCUCUAUGUACAAUUUCUAAAUAAGAAACAUCUAUAAACGAGAAUAACCGGUGAAUUUGUACAAAGAUCAAUAGCAAUACAUGACAAACUUGUCGGAAAUAUUAACCGGUCUUAAACUAAAUUCUUACCUAACUAUUUCCUCCUAGCUGGCGAUUCGCGGAAGUUAAAACAAUCCGUUUGACGGAUAAAACCAGAUUAAACAUGUGAAAUGCCAUCAAAGAAUGAAUUUCUUUUUUUAGAUUAUUAAGGAUUAUUAUUAUUAAGGUUGUGUUAACGCCAAAUUCCAUUCGAAAUUAUUUUUCCAGUCAUUUACAUCAUCGAAUUCUGUGUUCUUUAAUUAUUUCAAUUAUUUUGAAUCACGUUGCUGAUAGCUCAGAAAUUAACGGGACUUUUGUGAAAGAGAAGUCAAACGAUUCGACUAUAAGAAGGUACAGUUCAAGGAACGCCAUACCGGUAUCGUGGGUUAUAGACGAUCAUUAUAAUUUAUGCAUUUUAUAUUUUACGUGAUAAAAGUUGCAUUAAACACGAACUAAAAUGAAAUAAUCUACGAUCAAAUAAUACAAUUUUUUAAUCCAAAUUUUCGUCUUCAUAAUAUCAAUUAAGAAUUAAAAAACAGAGCAAAAAGUAUAAAAUUCUAGUGCGACUAAUAAAGAGUAAUUCUUCCUUUUAAUGUAAACGCUUUAUCUUACCAUUAUUUAAAAGAUAAUUGUAAUACGUAAUAACUGUAAUAGUUUAUUAAAGAUAAAAAUAUUGGAACUUUGCAUAAUCCCCUAAUAAUUGGAAAAUCAUAUGCUUUCUUGGCAGAAGGAACGAUAUUGUUCAGUGUCCUAAAACUUAAACGACAGUAGGAACCUUUAAACGUACUAACUCCAAGAAGAUGUGUGGCAGUUUUAAGAAGGCAAAUAGCGGCAACAGACUCUCAUAACCAAUAAGUAUAGCGCAAUUUCCAAUUAAUUUUGAAACGACAUCUAAAUAUAUAAUAAACCUAUACAUGGUACUAUGACCGGAGUAACUUAGUAUAAGUUCUGUGGCUCUAUUACAGUACGCGUCUAGCUAAAUUAAUUCGUAGUCACUCUAUGCUUUGCUACUUCAACCUAUGAAAUUUAAAUCUAAAUACUUUCAAGUGUGUACGUGUUCACAGGUCUGUGCAAUAAAUGGCAAUGAAAAAUGCUAAACGAAAAGAAUACGUUUUUUCAUAGACAUAAAGAUAUAAAGAUAGUUGUAUAAACUAAUCAUACGAUGUAUCUGUCAACGCGUUUACCAUUGAAAUAUAAUCGGUAAACAAAAAAAUUUUAAUGUGUAAAAACAUUCGUAAAACGUUGUCAAACGCUCCACAAAGCGCUUAAGCAAUUGCAAUCACUUUACGAACUACGUACAUAUACAUAUUCCAUCGUACUGACAUAAGUGAUAUCAUAUCGACUAUGUGUAAAGUAAGGCGUACAAAAUUCGGUCGACAGUCGACGUAUGAAUUCUCUAUACCUCCACGUGACUUGAAGGUUACAUAAACGACCUAUUUACAUAAAGUAUUAGCUACCAAAUAUAACAUUCAAGUAUCAAAACAAGAAUCAAUUACGAACCGGUAUCCCACUUCUCGUUCAAAAUAAAAUAAUACGAGACAGAGUAUAAAAGAAGAGAAAAGAAGAGAAUUAAAUAACAUACAAAAAAUAGAGAAAAUGAUCACUUGUCAAUACCUGAUACGGGAGCAGCGAGAAACGCUUGAUUGGUGGCGACGAGUAAUGAAACCAGCACAAACAAGGACCACGCGAGGACGAUCAUCCUGGAUCGUAGUGAUCACUGAGAAGUACCGAUAACGGCUCGAUCAGUUUGCCAAACUCUGGACCGCCCCGGGCUUCCACUACGGUUAUGUUUUCGCGCACCUGACCGGUAUGCACGCGCGUAUGUACCCGUAAUUAUUCGGUUGGUUCGCCAACGGUUGAUGUUUUUCUCUUUUUUAUGUAUGUAUAGACGUUUACAUAAAUAUAUACAAUAUAUACAUCUGUACGUGUGUUUAUAUAUAUGUAUAUAUAUUUAUAUAUCGGUAUCGUACGUGUGUCAGAAGUCUUAAUUCAGUGUCGUUAGCUCUCGAACACGUUUCUCUCGAUGAACCGGGCCGUCGCGCUCAGACUCGGCUUUGCCGACUUCUCCGACCAGUUAGCCAGCAGUGAACUGCUCGUGUUCCUGCCUUGGGCAUCGUAAUAUACAUAAAGUCGCCAGAUAAGCCGCGGCUGACACCCCACCACGAGCCGCCCCGUCGUGGGACGACCCGUCUCGCUCGCUCGCUCACUCCCGAUGGAACAGCUUGAAGUCCUCUUCUCCUCGAAGCGGCCCCGCACCGCGCUGCACGGUGGGACAAAUCCUAGAUAUUUUCCGAAAAAAAAAAAAAAAAAAAAAAAACGGAAUAUAUAUCUAGUAAUAAAAAUAAAUAAAAAAUUGAGUGAAAAUACGGUGUACUCUUUUUUUCAUCGAUAUAACUGUACGAAGAGUAAAGAAGAAAAAACAGCUUUAUUGAGAAGAUUAAAUUUUAAUAUUUUAGUCCACUAAAAAGAGAACAACAUUUGAUGGAUUUAACCGUAUUUCUUAUGAAAUAAAGUUUAUACUCUGCUUAGACAUUACGAGAAAGAAUGGUUAAUAGAAUAUUAAUUAUUUUGCAGAAACUGCACUCCGUGCUUUGUUCCAAUAUAGAGCGAACGUUUCCUGUUAUUAAUCAAUACACCACAUUUUUAUGCAGACGUUUUGUGCAUUAUAACUAUUGUGAUUUAAUAGUUUAAAUUGUCGCAAAAUGAAAAAUCACAAAAAAUGAGUUUUCCUCGGUGUACAAAUACUUUUUAUAACGAUUGUAUGCUUGGUUGUUAAGAAAUUGUUAACGUAACAAAAACCCCAAAUUUAAUGAUUCUAACUAUGUUUUUCGGCAUUUCCAAAAAAAGUCUUGUUUUUUUUUGUUGAUUUUGAAAAAUAUGCGAAAUUGUCCAGAAAAUAGUUUUUCUCCGUAUAAUUGCUAAAUAUCCACGCUCAAUUGCUAUCCUGAAAAGAAUUAACAAAAUCGUGUACGCUUGUAUAGAAAUAUUCAGAAACCAAGAUUAGCAAGUAGCGAGAAAGCUAUCGAUGAUUAGUAACAAUUUAUUACAAUAUUAAAUCGAGACAAAGCAGGAAAUAAAGUUUUUAGAAACCUCAGGAAAUACGGAUCUCGCAAAAUGGACAGAAAAAGCACGAAUGAAAAUUUUUUUAGUUUCCUCGAGAUAAUUCACAAUUUGUUCAUGAGAACAUUCGGUAAAUUGGUAUAACAAGUUGGAACAAUAGCCUGUAGGCAUAUUCCCAGUAGUUCGUGCUUUAGAGUUACAUAAAUACAUUUGCUCGUAGAUUAUUAAAUGCUUUAGUUAAUCAGAUCAUUGGGAUGUUUCUUACUCAGUCCCCUCGGGACAAAUGUAAAAUAUAAGUUGUUUGCUAGUAGAUUUAAGCGGUUUUCUAAUUCCUUUUCGUCGGCAUAAAUGCACAACAUAAGUUGUUUGUUAGUAGGCUUAGACGAUUUUCUAAUUCCUUUGUGUAUCUCACAGCAAAAACCGUUAUUGUACUAUCGACUGAUUCUAUUCUAAGAUCCUAGUUUUUAAUAUACCAAAGAGCAUUAACCAGCGUAGGGAGGAUUAUUGAUUAUAAAGCUCCUAUUUUUUUAAUGUUGUUCAUGCUAACUGUACACCGGAGUUCGAUUCCGUAGAUCCGGAUAUUUUUAAUGAUGAUCUUGUAUAACAAAAGUUAAUUCUUUGAGUUCAAUUUUAAAUUCCUUCUCGUCAAAUAGUUCAUGUUUCUUCUUUUUAUUUUAGUCUGCUGUAUUUUCCUCUGGGUGUGGUGUUUUCACGUUAAUUUCCUAUCUACGUAGAUGCCUAGAUAUUUUACAACUGCAGCUUGUUACUCAGAGAUACAGUACCAGAUAUUUGCUCCUUUAAUGCAAAGGUAAUGCGUCUGGAUUUUUCCUCGUUUAGUUUUAUUUUCCGUUUUAAGAACCAAGUUUGCAAACUUACUAUGGAUUGCUGCAGAAACUGAGAGGCAGUGUUAACGUUAUCGUGCAUAUAAAGUGCCAUAUAAAGUACAGAUCCUAAGAACACCAGCAUUUAUUGAGUAUUGAUUGGAGUAACUGUCCCGAAAUUUGGCUAUGAUUUUUUUAUUUGAUAUGUAAGAUUUAGUGAGAUAGUAAUAUGGAGCUGGAAAAUUGAUUGCUAUUUUAAACGGUAAUGUUUUCUCGAUAUCUAGGAAUAUAACUGAACAGUAUAACUUUUUUUCAAAGCAUGUAAUGAUAGUAUCAACAAUUCUAUACACUUAUUGAAUUAUAGGAUGUUUAUUACGAAAUCCAAACUGGUGAUUAGAUAAUAAUUGAUUUCAGUUUACUUAGUACUCUUCUCGCUGGUAUUUUCUAUAUAAUUAAUAGCAACGGAAUUGGCCUAUAUGAGGUCGUAUAAAUGCAAAUCUUACCCGGGCUUUUGCAAAUAUUUUGAUCGCAGUACUGCAUUAAAGAUAUUUGUUUUCAGCCUUAUAGAGGGCUUAUCUAGAAGGAUUUUUAUUGAUUUAUUUAUUAUGUUUAUUUUUUUGUUUUAUACUUGUUUGUUCGACCAGUCGCGGGGAAACGCGAUCACGAGGAAACGCAUCAACAGGAGUCGUAAAUUCCCGUUACGAUUAGAAUAAUCGACACCACGAACUGUUCGAUCCCCGUAUUUCGAUUAGGACAAUAGGGGUGGUUGUUUUUGUAGAACACUGCGGUUGACAGGUUAUACUAUAUAUUUUCAACAACAAUUUACACUUUAUAUAAUGUAUAACUCUGAUGUGUAUCUAAGAUGUGUAUCUGAGGUGUAUCGCUGAGAUAUGUAUCGAAGAUGUGUAUCAGAGAGGUGACUGCUCCAUAGGUGAGAAGAUGCGUUCUCGUAGCAUUACUGAAGAAAGCUCGGGGUGGCCUUGUUCAUGGGAAAAACCAGCUUUCCUGUUAGGGAAAUAUUCGCUUGCUUCGUAAUUAAUACGAACGCAUAAUAAACCUAAGGACUGUUCCAGGGACCAUCCAUAAACCGAUAACACUUACAGGAAUAAUGAUUCCUUCAAGGUUAAUAGGUUAGUUAUUUUUUCAACUAGCAAUAAUCGCAUCUCGGUAGAACCUCAUUGGUUACGAUAUCGCCACUGCGCAAAGCUUAAUAGAAGUUAGUUAUGAAUAUCAAGACAAAAGGUAAACUAAAAGCCUAGGUUUAUGGUGGAUCCUUAGGUUUAUUGGGAAUCUGAAUAGCGGUGCAGACCCUUGGCGGCCAGGCAACUAGAGACGUCGCGCGGGCCAUUUCACGCAACGUAACAUACUUAUGCUUUUAUUGUAUGUUUGAUAUAAUUCUUUUUGCUUCUUUAAACGUAGCACUUUUAUUGGGCUUAUAUUUGCAGUAGCACUUAUAUUUUCUUUUAUUGGACCUGAGUUUCGUAAGGUGUGAUCUAACAUUGUGUUGAAUUGUUCCAUUUGUUCGUUAUGUAUGUUUAUAAGGAUUUCUGAGUUUUUAGCAGAUAGUUUUCGUAUGAGUGUUAACGUCAGUUACUUAUGUGUAUGAUGUUGUAAUAGCUUCAUUAUCAAAUUGAAGGAUUAUCUUCGUAUUGGGGGACCUGUGACUAAUAGAGUAUAGCACACAUAUAUAGCGACUUUUAUCAAAGCUGACGAGAGUUUCUGGUGCAAUUACUUUCCUAGCUAGCAGAGUGAUUACGUGACAAUUAAAAGAUUUAAUAUUAUCGAUGUGACGUCUUAUUGAACGAUUAGUGAUAAACAUUUCACCUUAUCAGCGUGACCUUUUUAUUACACAAUCAGUGAUCGGGUGAUUUUUGGCACACUUAACGCGAGUCGGUAUUUUAUUGCAAUAAUUUUUGGUGUGGCCGAAAGACUGACAUUUGGCGCAUUAAUCUAGCUGCUACAAAAAAAACUAUCGUAUUUACUAGCCUGAUCAAUUGGAAAUAUUUUUGUUCUUUCCUUAUGACGAGUUCAUCCACAAAAAGUUGGAGUUGUCUUUUUUUGUUACUUAUUGAAUCAUACUAUUUAUAAUCGUUUAUUUGGCGAAUUUUAUAGUUUAACUGUCCGGUGAAACUAUAGAAAAGUUACUUCCUUUCCGAUCCCGAUGACUUUUGGAUAUGUAGAAAUAUGUAUGUUGUAAAAAUCAACAUUGUAAUUGUAUAGUUUAUUUUUACUCGAGCGUGGUUACCAAGAUGUUUCCAAACAAUGAUCGAUGCUCUCAUGCAUCUGAAUUUUGUCUAUAAUUAUACACCCUUAUCAGCGUACGUGUUAGUUUGGUUGCCAACCGCCUAUCUUUCGUUUAUAAUGUAUACAUGUAAACGGAAUUUGGGCUCUCUUAAAGCUCUUUGCACAACUAUAUGUGCGUGGUUGUAAAAAGUGCUGUGCACAAUUAAAAAUGAAUACAUCGAUGAUAUUUUUAUAUUUAUUUUAUUAUAUACAUUUUUAAUUGAAUUACAUAUAACAGACAUUUCUUACAGUUUCUCAUAUACAGUUGCGCAAGGAGCUUUUCUUAGACUCACCCUCGUUGUAUAUAUAAGCUGAAAAUAAGUGUCAGUUUUCGAUCAGGUCAUCCUAUUCAAUUUCUGACAAUUAAUACGGUCGCUUAUGCUGCCAUAUGCGCGCAAUUAUAAGUACAACGUACUGUAGUGAUAUUAAUAGAAUUUUUCUACUAUCUGGUGAACUAUGACCGACAGUUAUAUCAUGUACAGAAAAAAAGUGUUUCACAAUAUUAUGAUCUAUAACUUAUUCAGAAAUGAUCGCAAUCAGAAAAGAAGCAUUUUUCCUACAGUUUUAUCUAUAAUAAUAAUAAUAUAUCUAUAAUAAUUGAUAAUACGAUCAAUAAGCCAAAAAGUUUCGUUUUCUACAUGACAAAUACGUACAAAAGUGCAUAAGGUUAAGAUCUCGAUUGAUUUUCAUAAAAAUAAACGCUUCUAAGAAUUAUUAUAUGCUUCCAUAGUUUUUACCAUGUAAAAAACAAAGACUUUUGCGUUUUUUGGUCUAUAUCAUAUUAGUACUGAAAAGUGCAAAAUACCAGUGGCAGGAGAAAUUUAAAGGGUUCACCGGAGGAUCGUCCCAGCACCACCAUUUUCUGAAGAUAAAGAAACAAAUUCUGUUCUAUUCAUCAAAUGUUACUACAUCUCAUAAAUGCCAGAAAACAAGUUUUUUAUUCAGUUCAUUAUUUAAAUGAAUGCGUCCAAUAUGCCACCCCCCUCCCCUUAAUAUAUUUCCUCUACUUUUCUUCGUCUCACUCACUGUUUCUGUCUGUCAUGCACGAUUUCUAUCUUUCAUACACUCUCUUGCUCUUUCGAGUUUUUUAUAUCUUGCAAUUUAUAAUCAUGUGUGAACUAUCGUUAUAUGCCAGAGAAUUCUUCACUGCUCAGACUCUACAGUAGAGUAGAAGUAAGGUGUACUGAGUGUCUGUGAUAAUAGUGUCUGCUGGCUGUAGAUGUCGCUGUUGGGAUACUGCUGUAUUUUCUUCCUAUUUAAGAAUUAUGGAAAAUCGGACUACGGGCGCCGGGAUUGGAGCCCGGGUCCCGAACAUUCGUAACCUAAGGUUUUAACUACCACGCUGCCGUCGUCUGGUAGCAGUUAGUAUCGAGUGGCAGUAUUUGUGUUGUCGAGUGCCGCCACAGAAGUUUUAAAGUCUUUCAGAUACUACAGAUGUGAUUAUACUGUCUUCAUUUGUUUGGUGCUUUUUGGAUAAUAAUACGUAUUUACGUUAGUACUUUUAUAGCUUUGUGUGAGGCUAACGAUGACGAUCGGAGAAAUCUUUGAUUACUUAUAUUCAUCCCAGACAAAAAACUUUGAGAGUUUACAUUCCAAUAAGUCUAGAUCUAUGACUUUCAAUUUACUGGUGUUUUGGUCGUCGAUAAUUGUGGCAAGCUGUCUCCUCCAAUGUUUCAGCUGGACCUGGUCAUACUUGAUUCAGAUACUGGAAGCGUGGCCUCGCAUUUUCGGUUCUUUGGAUAUCGAUAAUGAUGUUGACGAAGAACAUUAUUACCAAAGUUCUUCACCUCAAGCUCAAACCUAACUCGUUGUCAGGUAGUUGCUUUCUCUAUUUUUUGAUCUCUAAUCUGGCCUUUUUCUAAGUAAGAGCGAUCGUUACUUAACAGUUUUAAGCGCUUCAUUAGUCAAACUUUAUAAUUUACGUUCGAAAGUGUAACCGAGAUCGAUUGCAACUUUCUUUUAAUACCUAUACGAAAAUAAUGAAUCUAAUAACGAAAAAGAUAAAGAAUAUUAUUGUCUGGUAUGCACGGAAUCCUACAGCAAAAUGAAACCAGACGAAGAAAUUGGUGUAAUGUAGCGAGUGUAAGAAUUGAGCACAUAAAAAAUGUACCUAUCAAGAUGUUUUUUUAUAUUUGUCACAAUUGCGAUUCUGGAUGAUCGGUUACAAAUUUUACUUUUGUUCUACUUAUUAUUAUAAUUUAAGUCAAUAAAUAUCUUAAUUUGAUAAA